rnacentral:rRNA from 1 species
GACGAACGCUGGCGGCGUGCUUAACACAUGCAAGUCGAGCGAUGAAGCUCCUUCGGGAGUGGAUUAGCGGCGGACGGGUGAGUAACACGUGGGUAACCUGCCUCAUAGAGGGGAAUAGCCUUCCGAAAGGAAGAUUAAUACCGCAUAAGAUUGUAGUACCGCAUGGUAUAGCAAUUAAAGGAGCAAUCCGCUAUGAGAUGGACCCGCGUCGCAUUAGCUAGUUGGUGAGGUAACGGCUCACCAAGGCGACGAUGCGUAGCCGACCUGAGAGGGUGAUCGGCCACAUUGGGACUGAGACACGGCCCAGACUCCUACGGGAGGCAGCAGUGGGGAAUAUUGCACAAUGGGGGAAACCCUGAUGCAGCAACGCCGCGUGAGUGAUGAAGGUCUUCGGAUUGUAAAACUCUGUCUUCAGGGACGAUAAUGACGGUACCUGAGGAGGAAGCCACGGCUAACUACGUGCCAGCCGCCGCCGUAACAC